GAUGAACGCUGGCGGCGUGCCUAAUACAUGCAAGUCGAGCGAACAGACGAGGCGCUUGCUCCUCUGACGUUAGCGGCGGAGGGGUGAGAAACACGUGGAUACCCUACCUGUCAGACUGGGAUAACUUCGGGAAACCGGAGCUAAUCCCGGAUGAUAUAUUGAACCGCAUGGUUCAAUAGUAAAAGACGGUGUUGCGGUCACUAAUCGAUGGUUCCGCGCCGCAUGAGCUGGUUGGUGCGGUAACGGGUUACGAAGGCAACGAGGCGUAGCCGACGUGACAGGCGGAUCGCCCACCUGGGAGGUGAGACGCGGUCAAUACGCCUGAGGGAGGCAGCAGUAGCGAAUCGUCCGCAAUGGUCGAAAGUCUGACGGAGCAACGCGGAGUCAGUGAUGAAGGUGUUCGGAGCGUAAUACUCUCUUUUGAGUUAUGAACCAAUUUGUAAGUAACUAUGCACUUCUUGACGGUACUGAAUAAGAAAGCCACGGCUAACUACGUG
rnacentral:rRNA from 1 species